UUGAUCCUGCCGGAGGUCACUGCUAUCAGUGUUCGANUAAGCCAUGCAAGUCAAAUGUUCUUCGUGAACAUGGCGGACUGCUCAGUAACACGUGGAUAACCUGCCCUUAGGAUUGGCAUAACACCGGGAAACUGGUGAUAAUACCGAAUAGACCAUUUAUGCUGGAAUGCUUUUUGGUUCAAAGGCUUCGGCUGCCUAAGGAUGGAUCUGCGGCCUAUCAGGUAGUAGUGGGUGUAAUGUACCUACUAGCCUACGACGGGUACGGGUUGUGAGAGCAAGAGCCCGGAGAUGGAUUCUGAGACAUGAAUCCAGGCCCUACGGGGCGCAGCAGGCGCGAAAACUUUACAAUGCGGGAAACCGCGAUAAGGGGACACUGAGUGCCAGCAUAUUAUGUUGGCUGUCCACAUGUAUAAAAACCAUGUGUUAGCAAGGGCCGGGCAAGACCGGUGCCAGCCGCCGCGGUAACACCGGCGGCCCGAGUGGUGAUCACUUUUAUUGGGUCUAAAGGGUCCGUAGCCGGUUUGAUCAGUCUUCUGGGAAAUCUGACAGCUCAACUGUUAGGCUUUCAGGGGAUACUGUUAAACUUGGGACCGGGAGAGGUAAGAGGUACUACAGGGGUAGGAGUGAAAUCUUGUAAUCCCUGUGGGACCACCAGUGGCGAAGGCGUCCUACCAGAACGGGUCCGACGGUGAGGGACGAAAGCUGGGGGCACGAACCGGAUUAGAUACCCGGGUAGUCCCAGCCGUAAACGAUGUUCGCUAGGUGUCAGGGACGGUGCGACCGUUUCUGGUGCCGUAGGGAAGCCGUGAAGCGAACCACCUGGGAAGUACGGCCGCAAGGCUGAAACUUAAAGGAAUUGGCGGG
rnacentral:rRNA from 1 species